rnacentral:tRNA from 1 species
GAAGGUGGGGCUCAAGUGGUAGAGUACCUACCUGUCUAGCAAGUGCAGGCCCUGAGUUCAAAUCUCAGUACUAUCA